rnacentral:rRNA from 1 species
GAUCCUGGCUCAGGAUGAACGCUGGCGGCGUGCUUAACACAUGCAAGUCGAGGGGAAACGACAUCGAAAGCUUGCUUUUGAUGGGCGUCGACCGGCGCACGGGUGAGUAACGCGUAUCCAACCUGCCCACCACUUGGGGGAUAACCUUGCGAAAGUAAGACUAAUACCCAAUGAUAUCUCUAGAAGACAUCUGAAAGAGAUUAAAGAUUCAUCGGUGAUGGAUGGGGAUGCGU